rnacentral:rRNA from 1 species
CGCGUGGGUAACCUGCCCUAUACACAUGGAUAACACACUGAAAAGUUUACUAAUACAUGAUAAUAUAUAUUUACGGCAUCGUAGAUAUAUCAAAGUGUUAGCGGUAUAGGAUGGACCCGCGUCUGAUUAGCUAGUUGGUGAGAUAACUGCCCACCAAGGCGACGAUCAGUAGCCGACCUGAGAGGGUGAUCGGCCACAUUGGAACUGAGACACGGUCCAAACUCCUACGGGAGGCAGCAGCU